GCAAGCAUGGCCUAGUGGUUUGAGCAUUGGACUACGACUCUGGAGACGAUGGGUUCGAAUCCCUGCACA